GUGGCCGGCAGACGUCCGCGAGGGUCUGCCGGCAUUACUUUCGUUUUGUUCUUUGUUUAUUUCUAAUUAAAGUUUUGUUGAAUGUUCGCCGGUUCCCGCCUCCUUCUUCCCGUAUUGACGAACUUCGUUACCUGGUGGUUUAUUCCUUUUCUAAUCCGAUCCAACAACAAAAAAUUACCAUGUAAACGCUUGAAUCCGACUACUUUCGCAAUCAUAUUCAGAAGUCUCUGGGGCACAUGCGCAGUGCAGUGUUGACACGCAUUACGCAGUGCGCAAGUUCACGUUCACGUCUUUAGUUGUAAAGAUGUAUGCCAACAGACAGUGGCGUAGCUGUAUCCCUUCGUCAUAAUAUUGGAAAUCUUUCCGUUUUAAAACAAGGGGAGCCAAUGGAUAUCACACAAGAAGCAGUUAUGAAGCAGAGUUAUGCCGGUGAAAAGUCUCAACCUCGGUUUACCAAGAUGGGUUUACCAGGUCCCAUGUACUAAUGUUCUAUAGGAAAAAAAACUCUUGAGGCAAGAGGGAAAGAUGGAAAUAAACAGGCAGAGAAAGAGCAGCCAUUGCAGGAACAUGGAUCAGGGUAAUGGGGCUUGUGACAUUACAGUGAUGAAUAAGAUAUAUGGCAUAAUGGAAACAGGAAAUACAACCACACACACACACACACACACACACACACACACACACACACACACACACACACACACACAUCUCAAAUAAAGACAAGAUACAUGUGUUUAUGACUUGAUUUGUGUACUUUAAUUCUUCCCUAACAUCCAACAAAUAAGCCACAGCGUCCUUGCCAAGAGAGAAAGGGAUCAAGUAUAAAAUACACUAUUUAGUCACAUAAAUAUGUCUGCAAUGUCAUAAAUAUCCUUUAAAUUCAUUCUGUAAUACAGGAUACCGCUAGGCUCAGCAUGUGUGUGUGUGUGUGUGUGUGUGUGUGUACAGUCAGGCUAAGAAGCCAAAGGUGUUUACCUGGCCCCAGGAUGGCGCAGUAUGCAGUGUGCAUUCAUGUCUGCAUGUUUGAGGUGGUUUAAGACUCAAGAGAAACGUCUGGGCUACAGACCAAUUCCUCGUCUCAUGCCGACUUGCUGCCCCACUGGAGCUGCAGCGGUCUGGCCGAGGAGAUAUGACCACUUAAACCAGAGUUUCCGGUCAGUCUAGGUCAUCUGUUUUCAAUAUUAUAGGUUUUUUGGAAGGAGAUUUAUUCUACAGUUAGAUGUUUCGUAUACAGUAUAAAGGAUCUGACAGUGUUUGCUCAGGUUCAUGGUGGACUAAUGCAAACCCUCACAUGUUGCAUGGAAGCUAUGCUGUGGUUAUGGAUCAGAAGUCACAGCACAGCUGCACUGGAAAGACUUCUGCAUUGAAUUUCUCACUUUUCCUGGCCAUAGGAUAUAGAAAGAUAUUUCAGGAUGACCGUUAGUAUCAGAAUUCAUGUUCAGUGGCUGUGCUGAAAAGGUCUCUGGUUUCACCAGACACAUUCUCACCCUAAAACACUUGUGCUGGGGGAGGACACACUGAACAGACUAUACUCCGCUGCCAGGAAUGUCAGGAAUUGUUUGUGAAAAACACAAGCUAAGCAACACAGAAUCACAGACUGUGAUACAAACUCACAUAUGCAUGCUCACACAUACACCAUUUAACUCAGACAGAUUUACACUAACAUAUAUAGCAUAUCGUGCACAUACUCAGAUGCUAUGUAUCCAAACCCCCUUAUUUGGGCUGGGUGGUGUUGGGUAUAAAUAGUGGAGUGGUGUUACGGUGAAGGGCAAGAGGCCACAGAACUCCACCCUACCAGUCUUUUAAAAAUACACACUCACCCUCUUUCUAUAACUCUCUCUCUCGUUCACUAAUUCUCUAUUUCUGCCUCUCUGAUGUACCUGAGGGUGUAACACUAUUCCUGAAUUGCUUUUAGUUCUUUUCGUUAACCUUUAAAGGGAUGUACUUUGUCAUCAUUUAGUCACCUUCAUAUUUUUCCAAACCCAUUGUGACCACAGCUGUUAAGCUCCAAAAAUGAAAAGAAAAUGCACCUUAAAAAGUGGUCCAUAUGACUAUAUUCUAAGACUUCUGAAGUCUUAUAGUAGCUUUGUGAGAGAAACAACUGAAAUCUGAAUGAAUUAUUUAGCCUGAUCUGUGAACCAAAUCAAAUAGUUCAUUGAAAAGAAUCAACUAAAAAAAAAAAAAAAAAAACUGAUAUGGUUCUUGAGUUUCAACUCUGACUCAAUUAUCUGGCUUAGGGAUGUUCUUGUAUCUUUAAGAGUAUGUUUGUUAUAUUCAAAUAUAUUCUGUUUUUCAAAGUGUUCCAAUGUGACAGGUCAUGGUGACACGUUUGUGGUUAGAUAAUGGACGCCUGCCAAGUACUGCAGAAGCGAUGGUGUUUUCAGAAUUAGUUGCUCAUUUGAUCUUGUACCUCAUUGAAGUCUAUGUGCGAGACAUCACUGCCGUUGUCAGAGCACGAUCAGACCUCACUAAAUGAGUGCAGAACGCAGUUGGAUAUAGUAGAGUAUUUCCGUUGUAUUAAUAAAAUGCAACUUAUCUGUUUUUUUCCUUUAAAAACAUUUUUAUACAUAUAGCGUUAAGAGUAUUUUUGAACCAUGCAGCGAACAUAUUAAAAUAUCUCGCAAAAUUACUUAAAUUACUUUUUAAACUGUUCAACUGAUAAUAUUAAUCAGUCAAAAUUUCUACUAUCUGUUAACGGUUAUAACCAGUUAAUUAUGAGCAUCCCUAAUCUGGCUAUUUACUGUUUUUAAUGUAACUUUAAUCACAGAGAAUGUUACUUUAAUGUAAAAUUUUUGAUUGAAUAAAUACAGGCUUGGUGUUUCAAAAAACUUACCGAUCCCAGACUUUUGAACAGUAGUGUACUGUAUGUUCUUGAUUCAUGUUUCAUAGGAAACAAAUAAGAGGGUUUGGAUCGACAUGAAUAUGAGUAAAUGUCAGAAUUUUCAGUUUUCGGGGGCAAACUUUCCCUUUAAACACUUACGUGUGUCUUCUUACCUCACACUUUUUUCCCUCCCUCAUUUCACCUACUCCUCGAGCCCCCUCAUUUUCCAUUUUUCCCUGCCCUUAAUAUCAUCUCUCCUUUGCAUGUCAUAAUGAUAAUUACUUAUUAGUAGCAACUGAAAAGUGACAAGCCCGUAAUUUCCCAGAGGAUUGUUUUUAUAUACAUUCCUCAGUAUAUGCAGCACAAAGAACUACAAUGUUGCUAAAGUGGGUUCAAAAUGCAGACAGGCAAAUGACAACAUGAAAUACAAGGAAGGGUCAGCUAAAAAUACCUCAAAAUUAUUGAACUCUAGCCCCAAGUAUCUCUCCCUCAGUGAUGUGAAAGCUCCUAUUGUCUUCAGUGAACUGGACUCUGUACUUUUCUUGGAUGAGCUGAAGCUCCCUACAGACAUUCAAAAACAAAGGCUCUUCAAUGAUACUUUGCAGCCCCUCAAAUUCAGAAGACCCCUUGUCUUAUCGCUGUUUUGGGUCCUUGAGUUGCUUAUUAUAGAUUCUUCAGAAUAGAAUGGAGAAAACUAAUGGGAUUUUGCAUAAUAUUAAGCUAAACCAUCAAUGUUCACCCAUCCACACACAUUUCCUGUAUACAUUUACACAGCCUGAGGCAGAAACACAUUGUCCAUCUGCUCUGAGAUGCAAAUGUUACUAUACCAUGCAGGAAACAUUUUACAGUAAACUACUGCCAAAAGACUCCAUGAGACAUCAUGCAAGCACAAGGGAAGUCAUUCAUUCAAAUCUGACUUGCGUAAACUCACUCUCAGAUAAGACAUCUGAAACUUAGAUACAAACAGAUGAACAACCUCCCAACUGCUACUAGAACUUCAGGCAGAGACACAUAUGUCCUGAUGUCUGUAGUUUCAGAGAAAGAGUCACGGUAGGUCAUUACAGUAAGAAUAAUUCACAAUUAAAGCUGCUAGCAGCGAUGAAAGGGCCCUUGCAUCCGGGGCCACCACCACCCGCUUGCCUUAGGAAAACAGCGAAUACUUGGUGACAUGCAUGUAUUCGAGUAAAUACAGGAGAAAUAUGGCAAAGUCAUUUUGAUGUGCCACACUUCCUGCUGUCAACAGGUGGCGCUUUGACUAUUACUGAAUAUUGACAUGUAGAUGUCUUUAGGCCAGGACUAUUAUC